CAAAUGGAUAGUCUAGAUGUUCAUAACAUAAAUUUUAUGUGUAAUUAAAUAUUGGAAAAUUGGCUUGAGCUUCCCCUUCCCUGUUCGAAUGGAUAAAUAAUUAUGAUUGACAAGAUAAAAAAUAAAUGCUUUGUAAUACUUAUGGGGGAAACUGAAUGAAUUAGGCUGUUACUUACAGAAUGUUAGAACAAUGAAUAAAGGAAUUUGAUUGAAUAACAUUCUGAAGAAUCUUGGAAUACACUCAUUACUUAUGGUUCCUGUGGAAACUCAUUUAUGGUUAAAAGGCAAUCUUUGGAACUUUGGCAAGAAUUGUGAGAUUAGUUUCUUAAGGUUAGUUACUGCCAAGUUGUAGGGAAAAAUAUGACAAGUUUUGGAAGUGAAGCAAUAGAAAAGACAGAAAAUAAUUAUGAGUGUAUAGAAAUGCUUCAUCUUCUAUUACCAGAAAUCUUUAAAGAUAAACUUUGAAUUAGCCUCUUAUUUUGUCUGAAUAUAUAACCACCUCUAUUCAAGCUUGGAAUUUUUCAAGUAGUCUGAUACAUACUUCUGCAUGUCAAUGCGUUUGCCAGUGGAUGAAGAAGACUUCGUGAUUGACUUCAAGCCGAGGGCCAGCAUGGAUACUGUCCAUCAUAUGCUGCUUUUUGGAUGCAAUAUGCCUUCAUCUACUGGAAGUUACUGAAUUCAUAUCCUAUGGUUCUGCCGCGCCAUGUGGGACCCUCGCCCACUGGCCAGGAUGGAACCAGCACUGCAGAGGCUGAGGACAACUUCACAGCACUGUGCUCACUGCCUGCGCCACCAGGGGAGGCCUAGUAUUCAUUUUUCUUCUGAGUUUUCGUGUAUGUCUUUGAACUGUUUUUCUGUGUUUUCUCCCUUUUCUUUGAACUUUUUUAUCAUGGCAAUUUUGAAUUCUGUAUCUUCUAGGUCUUUGUAUUUGGGUUCUGUAGAUUUGUUCUCUUUCUAUGGUUUAGUAUUGCCCUGAGUACUCAAGUUGCCAUUUGUUGUGGUUUUUUUGUCUCCCUAUUAUUUUCUUUUUGCAUCGUGCUGUUGCUGGGACUGCUUCAGCUGGUUGUGGCUCCAAUCUCACACUGGGGUGAGAGGUCUUACUGGGGCUG